UACGUAGGGGGCAAGCGUUGUCCGGAAUCAUUGGGCGUAAAGAGCGUGUAGGCGCCAGGUAGGUCUGCUGUGAAAACUCGAGGCUCAACCGAUCGAGACGUCGGGCGGAAACCAUCUGGCUAGAGUCCGGAAGAGGAGAGUGGAAUUCCUGGUGUAGCGGUGAAAUGCGCAGAUAUCAGGAGGAACACCAGUGGCGAAGGCGACUACCUGGCCUGUUCUUGACGCUGAGGCGCGAAAGCUAGGGGAGCAAACGGG
rnacentral:rRNA from 1 species